rnacentral:sRNA from 1 species
GUCGAAACCGAUGACCUUGACCUGCGAUUCCAGUCCGGCGGCCUUGACGGCAACGGCCGCGGCAAGGGCCGCAUCGUC